GUUAGGAAUAUUCGUCAAUGGGGGAAACCCUGAACGAGCAAUGCCGCGUGAGUGAUGACGGUCCUUUGGAUUGUAAAACUCUGUUGUAUGGGAAGAACACUAAGUAUAGGAAAUGAUACUUAGCUGACGGUACCAUGCCAGAAAGCCCCGGCUAACUACGUGCCAGCAGCCGCGGUAAUACGUAGGGGGCGAGCGUUAUCCGGAUUUAUUGGGCGUAAAGCGUGUGUAGGCGGUUUAUUAAGUAUAAGAUUAAAGCCCGAAGCUCAACUUCGGUUCGUCUUAUAAACUGGUAGGCUUGAGUAUGGUAGAGGCAAAUGGAACUUCUAGUGUAGCGGUAAAAUGCGUAGAUAUUAGAAAGAACACCAGUGGCGAAGGCGAUUUGCUGGGCCAUUACUGACGCUGAGACACGAAAGCGUGGGGAGCAAAUAGGA
rnacentral:rRNA from 1 species